UACGGGGGGGUGCAAGCGUUGUUCGGAUUUAUUGGGCGUAAAGAGCGUGUAGGCGGUUUGGUAAGUCUGAUGUGAAAGCCCUGGGCUCAACCCAGGAAGUGCAUUGGAUACUGUCAGACUUGAAUACGGGAGAGGGCAGUGGAAUUCCUAGUGUAGGAGUGAAAUCCGUAGAUAUUAGGAGGAACACCGGUGGCGAAGGCGGCUGCCUGGACCGAUAUUGACGCUGAGACGCGAAAGCGUGGGUAGCAAACAGG
rnacentral:rRNA from 1 species